CCUACGGGAGGCAGCAGUGGGGAAUAUUGGGCAAUGGGCGCAAGCCUGACCCAGCAACGCCGCGUGAAGGAAGAAGGCCUUCGGGUCGUAAACCUCUUUUCUCAGGGACGAAGAAUGUGACGGUACCUGAGCAAUAAGCUACGGCUAACUACGUGCCAGCAGCCGCGGUAAUCCGUAGGUGGCAAGCGUUAUCCGGAUUUAUUGGGUGUAAAGGGCGGGUAGGCGGGAGGGCAAGUCAAAGGUGAAAACCCAGGGCUCAACCCGGAGCCUGCCUUUGAAACUGUGUUUCUUGAGUGCGGGAGAGGCAAGCGGAAUUCCGGGUGUAGGAGUGAAAUGCGUAGAUAUACGGAGGAACACCAGUGGCGAAGGCGGAUAGCUGGACCGUAACUGACGCUGAGGAGCGAAAGCGUGGGGAGCAAACAGGAUUAGAUACCCGGGUAGUC
rnacentral:rRNA from 1 species